AUAGUUUUUUUUUUUUUUUUUUUUUUUUUUAUGGUAGGAGAGGCAAACGAGCAGACGGAUCACCUGAUGGUAAGCGAUUACCGCCGCCCAUGGACACCCGCAACACCAGAGGGGUUGUAAGUGCGUUGCCGGCCUUUAAGAUGGGAGUACGCUCUUUUCUUGAAGGUUUGAAGGUCGUAUCGGUCCGGAAAUACCGCAGGCA